rnacentral:rRNA from 1 species
UACGAAGGGGCUAGCGUUGUUCGGAUUUACUGGGCGUAAAGCGCACGUAGGCGGAUUGUUAAGUCGGGGGUGAAAUCCUGGAGCUCAACUUCAGAAUUGCCUUCGAUACUGGCUUUCUAGAGGCUGGAAGAGGUUAGUGGAAUUCCCAGUGUAGAGGUGAAAUCCGUAGAUAUUGGGAAGAACACCAGUGGCGAAGGCGGCUAACUGGUCCAGAUCUGACGCUGAGGUGCGAAAGCGUGGGGAGCAAACAGGG